rnacentral:rRNA from 1 species
AUGAAUGCUUUUGGUAUGCUUUAACAUGCUAGUACUUUUUAAAGUGCGAAUAGGUGAGUAAAAAUUAAGAAUUUUUAAACUUUUAAAAAGCUUAAUUAAGAUUAGAUAGUUGGUUUUUUAAUAGAUAACCAAGUCUAUAAUCUUUAGCAAGUUUGAAAAAAUAAUUUGCCACACUGGGACUGAGAUAAGGCCCAGACUCUUAUGAGGCAGCAGUGAGGAAUAUUGGACAAUGAACUAACGUUUGAUCCAGCAAUACCAAGUGGGUGAUGAAAGCUGUUUUUAGUUGUAAAACCUGAAUAUAAAAGAAAAAAUGAUUCUUUUAUUGAUUUAGUCCUGGCUAAUUAUGUGCCAGCAGCAGCGGUAAUACAUAAAGGGCAAGCAUUAAUUGGAUUUAUUUGGCGUAAAGCGUUUGUAGGUUGUUUUGUUUGUUAAUUUUAAAUAUAAAAAGCUUAACUUUAAAAAGAGUUAAAACAACAAAAACUUGAGUACAACAUAGGUAAAUAGAACUUCUAAGGUACGGUUAAAAUUGGUUGAUCUUGGAAAGA